CUUUAGUCCUUCGGGGUACAGCGGCACAGGUGGCGGCAUGGUUGUCGUCAGCUCGUGUCGUGAGAUGUUGGGUUAAGUCCCGCAACGAGCGCAACCCUUGUCUUUAGUUGCCAUCAUUAAGUUGGGCACUCUAGCGAGACUGCCGGUAAUAAACCGGAGGAAGGUGGGGAUGACGUCAAAUCAUCAUGCCCCUUAUGACCUGGGCUACACACGUGCUACAAUGGUUGGUACAACGAGUUGCGAGUCGGUGACGGCGAGCUAAUCUCUUAAAGCCAAUCUCAGUUCGGAUUGUAGGCUGCAACUCGCCUACAUGAAGUCGGAAUCGCUAGUAAUCGCGGAUCAGCACGCCGCGGUGAAUACGUUCCCGGGCCUU
rnacentral:rRNA from 1 species